rnacentral:rRNA from 1 species
UACGUAGGGGGCAAGCGUUGUUCGGAAUCACUGGGCGUAAAGGGUGCGUAGGCCGCACGGUAAGUCAGAGGUGAAAUCCCGGAGCUCAACUUCGGAAUUGCCUCCGAUACUGCCGUGCUUGAGGACUGGAGAGGAGUCUGGAAUUCACAGUGGAGCAGUGAAAUGCGUAGAUAUUGUGAGGAACACUAGUGGCGAAGGCGAGACUCUGGACAGUUCCUGACGCUGAGGCACGAAGGCCAGGGGAGCAAACGGG